AGCAAAGCUGACAGUUUGCUUAUCACUUAUUCUCACAAGAUGUGCACAGUUCUCAAACAGGACCUUUUCUUGCAGGAUCUAUGGCCUGAAGAGAAUGAAACCACUGAAAAAUGAAAUAGAAUUCUUCAAGGGACUCUAUUCCACGGAAAGAAUGUUGCUACUGGAAAACUUCUACAGAGCUGCGUGACUUUAUCAUCUUUUAAGAUUCAUCAGCAUUCAGCGGAGAACCAGACAGAGAAAAAACGUGGUAUGAUCUGCGACAUCAAGGCAAAGGGCCCAAAAGUUGUUCUGGCCCUGGGAAAGGGUCCCAGAGUCAGACUGGCCAGCUUUUACCACGGCUGAUGGUCCAGCAUGCCGGCCGGAGCCCCCGCCUCCUUGGGGCACCUUGAGAAGACCAGGCAACAGGGAGAACUUUAUCCUGGACCCAUCUUGGUCUCCACAAGGACCCUGGGGACUUGCUGGCCGCAGUGCUCUAUCUGCUGGCCUGACGAGUUCAACCAGAGACGGACCCAUUCUAGCCUGGGUGACAAAUGGAAACUGUUAAGAUUGUGAUCAAGAGAGUUUACGAGGUGGCAUUUAUCACGGGCAUGAUCCAUAUCUCGGCCCCAGCCUCCCAGGGCCAGAACAUCUGUUUCCGGGGUCCCAGAGCUGACUGGACUCCAGGAAGUCAGCUCCAGUUUAUGAAACUCACAAAAACAUGUUUGUCAUGAGCAAUCCAACAGGCGAGCUGGACGGAGUGUCGGGCCGGCCCACCCAGCACACCGCAGUCCAUGGGAAAUCUCGCUGGGCAGCCACAUGACAGCAGCAGGAUGCCACUCAGCCUUGAGCACCACACAGUGAGGGGCUGGGCAGCCAAGUGUGGCGUGGCAUCAGGCUCCGACCAGGACGAGAGCUGGUGACACCAGAGGCUGGCAGAGCACACCUGUGGGCCAGGAUGUCCUUUGCCAGGGAGGGCUGGAAGCCAAGGUGGACCUCUCUGUUCCUGUGUGCCACGGGGACGGUCAAGGUCGGGAAUGCCUCCGCUCCCUGGACUUUGAUUCUUCCUGAUCCCCGUGAAAUGACAACAGUUGCCCACCACCAGUAGAUUGAGAUGAGUCAAAGAAAGUUCGUCUUUAUUUUCUAUUUCUUGUGUCGCCAGAUGCAGUCCAGACAUCAGCACUGUUUGCAGUCCUCUGCUCGAAGGCGGGGCUCUGCAGCCUCCUGGGCACUCCUGGAGCCUGGCUUUAUACCGCGUCUCCUUCUGACGGUGGGACGCCAGUGGGAUCUGCCCCAGGCCCAAGAGACCCCUGCAACAGCCAAGUGGAGAAGCCACCAGGGCCUGCGUGACAACCAAUCACAAGACCCUUUUACCUCACUUGGGAUAAUGAUGCAAUCGCUCGUUUCUAAUUUUUAAGAAAAGCAGACACAGCAAGCAAGAGGAAUUCCAACCACAGAGGGCUUUUUUAAACGUAAUUUUGAGAAGGCAACUUUGAACAAAGAACUUGCAGACAUGGUGUAACUCCUUCUUAUUAGAGAUGAGCAAGCUUUCCUUGGAAGGACGUGAAGCCCUUGGCAUAGGCUGCUUAAGAAAAAUAGUUAACUGCUUAAGUUAAAAUAGUUAAGACAACAGUUAACAAGAAAGAGAGAAAGAGAGAGAGAGAAGAAAGAAAAGAAAGAAAAGAGAAAGAGAGAGAGAGAGAAAAAAAGA
ensembl:lncRNA